CGAGCACACUUCUGGAGUUGCAUUGGAGUCUAGGAUGCGGAGAUGCAUUGCGUCCAUAUUCACCAACUGAUGGGCCAAGAUUGUCAUGCAAAUUAUGAACCACCAAUCCAGUUUCAGACAUACUGACUUUCGUACGGUCAAUUGGCAGGACGACAUGAAAAACAAAAUGAAAGCGUGACUAAAGGUUCAGGGAGCAGAGCAGAUCUACCGAGUCCUGGACGAUGAUGUCGGCAAGAAAUUCACUUACUUUAUAGAGGAGGUGCUUCAGCAGCAUGAGAGACCACAGGGGAGGCUGUGGAUCAUCUAUAAAUGUUGUUCUACUUCUUGUGAAGAUGAACGCGAGAGUGGAAGCUGAUGCUGAUCAGAAGACUGACAAGAAAAAAACGCAAAAAAAAA